CGCGUGGGAACGUGCCUUUCACUACGGAAUAGCUCUUGGAAACGAGUGGUAAUACCGUAUACGCCCUCCGGGGGAAAGAUUUAUCGGUGAAAGAUCGGCCCGCGUUAGAUUAGUUUGUUGGUGGGGUAAUGGCCUACCAAGACUACGAUCUAUAGCUGGUCUGAGAGGAUGAUCAGCCACACUGGGACUGAGACACGGCCCACACUCAUACGGGAGGCAGCAGUGGGGAAUCUUGCACAAUGGGCGAAAGCCUGAUGCAGCCAUGCCGCGUGAAUGAUGAAGGCCUUAGGGUUGUAAAAUUCUUUCGCCAGGGAUGAUAAUGACAGUACCUGGUAAAGAAGCCCCGGCUAACUUCGUGCCAGCAGCCGCGGUAAUACGAAGGGGGCUAGCGGUGUGGGGAAUUACUGGGCGUAAAGCGCGCGUAGGCGGGUUGUUAAGUCAGAUGUGAAAGCCCGGGGCUCAACCUCGGAAUUGCAUUUGAAACUAGCAGUCCUAGAGACCAGGAGAGGUUAGCGGAAUACCGAGUGUAGAGGUGAAAUUC
rnacentral:rRNA from 1 species